GCGAUGGUGGUUCAGAGGUAGAAUUUUUGCUUUCCAUGCAGGAGACCCAGGUUUGAUUCCUAGCCAAUGCA
rnacentral:tRNA from 1 species